GAAAAACAACAACACGUGGAAUAGUGGGGGGUAGAUGCAGCAACAGAUAAACCAUGAAAAAGAAACAUGCGAACUGAGAUUAGACUGGGAUCAACUGGUGUCAUUUCUCUAAAUCCAGAGCUGAAGCCAAAGUGUCCCAGAUCCAACCCCUGCCGUCUUGAACAUUUGAACCAGAGUCUGCGCAGUAGUGAUCAGGGGAUGGAGCAACAGCAGCGACGUCUCGCCGAUCGCUGCAGUCAGGAGAUGUUACACACCUCGGAAAGGAAACGUGUGAUCGUUGUGGACGCAGUGGACGCUGCCACAGGAGGUUGUUUCAUCCUCCUUUUUGUUGAAGUUGCAGUCUGAAGCCACCACUGUCACCUCUGCUGUUACAGGAGCUCGCCACACAAAGGCCAAGUGUCAAAAACAACAAUGCAAACUUCAAACAAUUUGGGAUGCAGCUGAAGAUUAGUUUACCUCAUUGGUUUAUUUGCCCUUUUUUCCUUAAAAUUAUAUUUGUUUAUUCAGUUAAAACGUCAUAAUGUAUUGAAAGAAAGCUCGGGAAAAUGUCCCACAAGCUAAGGUGACAUCUACAAAAUGCUUGAUUUCAUGAAUGUAAUACUGUGAGGUCUUGACCUUAGUAUUUAAAGUGCCUUGAGAUAAUGUUAUGAUUUUGUGCGAUACAAAUGAAAUUUAAAUGAAUUUGUUUCAGAUUUCAUUGAGUGUAACAUUUCAGAAGAAAAACAGCAGCAGAUAUUUGGCAGUUUUUAUUGAGAAGUUACCAAAUAUUUAAUGAAUUAUCAAAAAACUUGGCAAUUAAAUUUCUUUUAAUUGUCUUAUCAAUGCAUAUCUAAAAAUAAUAUAUAUUUUUUUAAUCUGUGGAUGUAUCAAUUAAUAUCAUGCUGCUUAUUUGGGUUUCAUCAUGACAAAAUAAGUCUAGGCCAUAUUGUCUUAAUUUAUUUAUCCGUCCUUUUGCUUUCGUAUUUUGCCCAAAAGGACCAUAAAAUGUAUUCAAUUACAUCAUUUAUGAUGUUUAAUGGCUCUUGAAUGUUUCAAAACGUCUUGGUGAACCCUUCAAGCCAAAAACAGGCACUGCAUAAAUCACACCCCUGCUUUUGUUUUAAGCCUAAAAACGUGCAAUAAUUAUAAGAAGCCGUGUAAAAGAAAUUAAGACGCGUCUGUAACAAAGUGCCAAUUAUAGAUGAGCCAGACCCAGACACAAACACGGCUCUAACACAGAGAGUCUGCUGUCUCUCAGUGAAUGACUAAAGUUAAUUGCCCCUAAUUAGGAAGCUUGAUUAGGGUUCAGCUCCUGAUUUAAGAGGAAACCAGCAGUGAUGAGCCCCGUCUGAAUUUCACUAUAGAACUUCAUUUCAAUAUGAGUUGGUUCUUUAAUUGUUCCUCUUGAAAGACCUGAUGCAUAAAUACAACCCAUUUGUCACAGCUAAGAUGGAGCCUCGCUUCAUAUAUAAUGUCAUUAUAUACGUCCUUUACUGAUGUUAGCUGUGGAAGCAUUGUUUGGAAGCUCAGAACAUCAGCCUCUGAAAAUCCCAUGUGAGAGGACACCGAUGAUGUGUGUGCUUUUAUAAUAUGUUUAUAGACAGUGGACGUUGAUCCGCCCCUCAUGACAGUGACACAUGGUUUUAAUUCGUAAAACUGUGACAAGAUUUGAAAAAUGCUUUUAAUUUCCGAUCACAAAGCUGCUGCACGGCUCCGUUAGUUCUCCCGUUUAAACUCCAAACCUUGAGCCAGAAGCACAUCAUCAGACAAAACUUUCCAUUUAGCCUGUAUAAACACUGCAUAAAGUAUUCACGUCGGAUCAUUUCGGAGUUGCCUGUUACGGAGCUAUAAUUAGAUUGCCUGUGCUUGAAAGGCUUGCAGGGUGUUGAUCAUUGUUAUUUCAUGAGGCAUGCGGUGCUAUGCAUCUCAGACCAACCAGUUUCCACUUCCAGACAAGCAAGGCCCUCGAGAUAUUCAUAAAUAUGAAAAGAAUAACUUCAUAAUGGCAAUAAAUCAUUUGAGGCAUGUUUUUUUGUUACACUUAUAGUAAGAAGAAUUUUAUUUUUGUGCAGCUGCAGCGUGUUCGUUUCCUAAAGCACAGAUACAGUAUUCAUGACUCAACAUAAUGUUUCUGAAGGUGUUGGUCCACCACAAGCUGCCAGAUCGGCUUCAGUGCACACUGACAUUGAUUUGACAUGUGGUUGACUCUUCCAACGAGAUACUCCUUCAUUCUGUGUUUUGAUCAUGACCCCUAUAGAUGGAUCAUUGUCAUCAUGCACCUCUGAGCAAAAGUUGUGUGACAGCGCCCCCUGGCUGUAUUAUUUUUAAAUGUAUUGAAAUGGGUUCAAAUGCUGCAUGUUAGCAGCAGUUGUUUUUCAGAUUUUUAAUGAUUGCACCGACAUCGACCAGCGAGGGGAAAUUAAGCAAAUCUUUCACUUCUAACUACAUCACCAGCUGUUUUUUUUAUAAUAAAAGUAAUCCUUGGAAAAGCUUAUAAUCUGACUCUGGGAACCAGUGAAUAUAAGAUUCAAAUAAAACGUUCAAUAUUGAACUCAUUCAGUCCAGGAGUAAAUAAUCUUACAACAAUACAAUUGCUACUUUUGGAGGCUUUAUUAGCAUCUGUGCCCGAUCAUUUUGAUGUGGCAGGAAAGAAUAAAAAAACUCUUUAACUGUG